rnacentral:rRNA from 1 species
UUUAAAUAGCUGCAGUAUUUUAACUGUACAAAGGUAGCGUAGUAAUUAGUCUUUUAAUUGAGGUCUUGUAUGAAUGGUUUGACAAGAAAUAUACUUUAUUUGGUUAAUUUAAUAAAUUUUAUUUUUUAGUUAAAAAGCUAAAAUAUUUAAAUGGGACGAUAAGACCCUAUAGAUCUUUAAAUUUUUUUUUAUAUAGUUAUUUAAGUUGAUUAAAUUUUUGUAAUUAAAAAAUUUUUUGUUGGGGUGAUAUACAAAAUUUUACAACUUUGUAAUUUUCACACAUAAAUUAAUGAUUUCAGUUGAACCUAAAUUUAGGUUUGUUAAAAUAAGAUACCUUAGGGAUAACAGCGCAAUAAAUUUGUAUAGUUCAUAUAGAUAGAUUUGUUUGCGACCUCGAUGUUGAAUUAAUUUAAAGUUUUGGGGCAGAAAAUAAAAUUUUAGGUCUGUUCGACCUUUAAAAUGUUACA